rnacentral:rRNA from 1 species
AUACGGAGGGUGCGAGCGUUGUUCGGAAUCACUGGGCGUAAAGGGCGCGCAGGCGGUUUGUCAAGUCAGAUGUGAAAGGCCACGGCUCAACCGUGGAGGUGCAUCUGAAACUGGCAGACUUGAGUACCGGAGGGGAAAGUGGAAUUCCCGGUGUAGAGGUGAAAUUCGUGGAUAUCGGGAGGAACACCGGAGGCGAAGGCGACUUUCUGGACGGAUACUGACGCUGAGGCGCGAAAGCGUGGGGAGCAAACAGGAUUAGAAACCCUAGUAGUCC